AUUAUUAACUGCAUAAUGAUCGUAUAGAUGAUGUCAAGAAAGCUAAUUUCACCAUAUAAUAAUAAAAAUUAGGUGUUUUGUCUCCACGUGCAGACAUAAUCAUCUUACAAAUAUUUAUUAUUUUAUGUCUUAUUAAUCAAAAAAUCGGCAUAAUAAAAUUCUAAUUGGUGAACAUGUUGAAGAAAAAAAUUAUGGUGAAUUCUUUGUUCAUCAAAA
rnacentral:lncRNA from 1 species